ensembl:lncRNA
CGGGCCUGGUUGUAACCAGCUUUGUAAGAGAUCAGAGGUUUGAAAAUUCCUCUUUUUGUCAUCCCCACAGGCAGGCUGGAAUCAGCUGAAGUCCCAGAGUGAGGUCUCCAGCAGUUCUCUCUGCUGACACUGCUCUUCGCAUGGGACAUUGACACAUCACUUAAUCAUAAGGGGUGGCAGGACCCUGCAUCAACAGCAGUUCAUUGAUCCUCCUGAAACCUCCAUUAGUGGUGGGAAAGCUGAAGACAUGAUGGAAACCUGAAUGGAAUCAGUCAAUAAAUCAGCCCCUAUUUAUCUCAAUCCAGUUCCCUGACUACACUUUCUCUUCUUACUCCUUGUUAGGGAGAACAUUUUGCAGCAUUGUUAUUACUGUAGCACUUUUGUAAUUCAGACCCUGUUAUUCGUUCUUCUGGCCUUGUGGAUUAAUGAGAUUAAUUGGUCCCUGCCUUCCUUGCUGUAUCUUUGGAGAGAUUUUCUGGCCCUCCUCUACGCUUUGCUGGGGUGAAUUUCCUCACUCCUGUAGGCCUUUCUCACAUGGCAGGUUACACAGAUG